AGACAGAGGAAGCUGAAAUUUUGUCUGUUUUACACCAUAAAGACUCAAGCGGAUCGAUCAGGAAACCUACAGACGAGAUGGAGUUGAAAUGCAGGAAUGAGGCUUGAUUAUCUUAUAAGAUGAUUCUGAAAAUUGGUCAGCCAAUGAGACGACCUCACUCGCCGCUGUCCUGCAACCAUACUGCAUGAUCACAUGAGGAAAAGCAGGCGGUGCUGGACCAAGGCCAGGAGGAUCGUGAAGGACCUCAGCCAUCCCAACAACGGACUGUUCUCUCUGUUGAGGUCAGGAAAGCGAUUCCUGAAGACCAACACAGAGAGACUGAGGAGGAGCUUCUUCCCGCAGGCGAUACGGUCUCUCAAUCACACCACCACAUAGUACUGACCCACACAUAUGGUUCUUACACACACACUGGACAUUUGUUUACAUUUGCCAUCUUGUUAUUGAUUAACAAGAUCACUCUGUCACAAGUCACUUAAAUAAAUCACUUUUAAGCAUAUUUGCACUGCACAAGACACUUAAAUAUGUGGAUUGCACAACCCUGGACAUUACAUUUCUUCAUUACCAUUUAUUACUCGUACAGCUGCUCUUAUUGUUCUAUAUUUCUUCAUAUAUUCUUAUAUAUUUUCUAUAUUGUGUAUUUUGUUGUACAGUUAUUUUAUUUUUAACUUUAAUUUUUAUAUUUUAUUUUAUUUUAU